GGGAAUCCGGUGCGAAUCCGGAACUGUCCCGCAACGGUGUACUUCGUGCAUCCGUACGUCUUCGCACGUGCGCGCACGCCUGUUCAGUCCGAGGACC
rnacentral:ncRNA from 13 species